GUUUUCGGCAUCGUUACUUUGAAGAACAUAGAGUGCUCAAAGCAAGCCAUCGCUCUGGAUACAUUAGCAUGGGAUAACAUCAUAGGAUUCCGGUCCUAUUGUGUUGGCCUUCGGGAUCGGAGUAAUGAUUAAUAGGGACAGUCGGGGGCAUUCG
rnacentral:ncRNA from 1 species